rnacentral:sRNA from 2 species
UAUUCUGCCCUACGGGGAAGGAUGAGAAGCUUCGACUAAGGUUCGACUCGAGCGCCAGCGAGAGAACGUUGCCGCAGGCAACGGCCCGAAGGGCGAGGAGCGAUAGCGACGAGUUAUCCUUCCCCCACUACUG